rnacentral:rRNA from 1 species
UGAAGAGUUUGAUCAUGGCUCAGAUUGAACGCUGGCGGCAGGCCUAACACAUGCAAGUCGAACGGUAACAGGAAGCAGCUUGCUGCUUUGCUGACGAGUGGCGGACGGGUGAGUAAUGUCUGGGAAACUGCCUGAUGGAGGGGGAUAACUACUGGAAACGGUGGCUAAUACCGCAUAACGUCGCAAGACCAAAGAGGGGGACCUUCGGGCCUCUUGCCAUCAGAUGUGCCCAGAUGGGAUUAGCUUGUUGGUGAGGUAACGGCUCACCAAGGCGACGAUCCCUAGCUGGUCUGAGAGGAUGACCAGCCACACUGGAACUGAGACACGGUCCAGACUCCUACGGGAGGCAGCAGUGGGGAAUAUUGCACAAUGGGCGCAAGCCUGAUGCAGCCAUGCCGCGUGUAUGAAGAAGGCCUUCGGGUUGUAAAGUACUUUCAGCGGGGAGGAAGGUGUUGUGGUUAAUAACCGCAGCAAUUGACGUUACCCGCAGAAGAAGCACCGGCUAACUCCGUGCCAGCAGCCGCGGUAAUACGGAGGGUGCAAGCGUUAAUCGGAAUUACUGGGCGUAAAGCGCACGCAGGCGGUCUGUCAAGUCGGAUGUGAAAUCCCCGGGCUCAACCUGGGAACUGCAUUCGAAACUGGCAGGCUUGAGUCUUGUAGAGGGGGGUAGAAUUCCAGGUGUAGCGGUGAAAUGCGUAGAGAUCUGGAGGAAUACCGGUGGCGAAGGCGGCCCCCUGGACAAAGACUGACGCUCAGGUGCGAAAGCGUGGGGAGCAAACAGGAUUAGAUACCCUGGUAGUCCACGCCGUAAACGAUGUCUACUUGGAGGUUGUGCCCUUGAGGCGUGGCUUCCGGAGCUAACGCGUUAAGUAGACCGCCUGGGGAGUACGGCCGCAAGGUUAAAACUCAAAUGAAUUGACGGGGGCCCGCACAAGCGGUGGAGCAUGUGGUUUAAUUCGAUGCAACGCGAAGAACCUUACCUGGUCUUGACAUCCACAGAACUUUCCAGAGAUGGAUUGGUGCCUUCGGGAACUGUGAGACAGGUGCUGCAUGGCUGUCGUCAGCUCGUGUUGUGAAAUGUUGGGUUAAGUCCCGCAACGAGCGCAACCCUUAUCCUUUGUUGCCAGCGGUCCGG